rnacentral:lncRNA from 1 species
GGGAAAUGUGGCCCAACUUAUGGUCCAGCUUUAACCAGUGACUCUACUGUGCCUGGAGGGCUUGCUAAGAAGGAUCAUGAGACUGCUUCUGAUGCUAAUGGGAAAACGUCCUUUGAUCCUGAGUUAAGUGGGCUUCAUGUUGGAAUGGAUUAAUGUGGCAGGAAUGAACAUGUUCUUUUUUUUUUUUUUUUUUUUUUUUUUUUUUUUUUGAGACGGAGUCUCGCUCUGUCACCCAGGCUAUUUGCCUCUCCAGAUGUGCUCUGUUUUCACUCUGCCGUGUGCCUGACCUCUACCAUCUACACCAGGGGAUUUCCUUGCCCUCCAGCUUCCAGUUGGGUUUGGCCAAUGGGAAACCCAUCAGCUCAGGACGGAAGCAGGGAAUACAGGCUCUGAUGAGAGUGGGAAAAUCAACCAAAAACAAAAAUAAAAGUGUCACAGGAACAUGGUGGUUGCAGACCUGAGACCUGCGGGAAAGAAGAAUUAUCCUAGCUGGCCAGUGAUGAAAUCUCCAGCUCCAGAGGGAAGCCCCUACUCCUCUUAACCUUGAGGGAGUCCUCUUUGUCCAGGAUACUCCAGCAUACUCCAACUAUGGUUGGUAUUUCUUGAGCUCUUUCAAAUGAAGUUUUAA